GAGAGUAUAGCUCAAGUGGUAGAGCCCAUGCUUAGCAUGCAAGAGGUCCUGGGUUCAAUCCCCAGUACCUCU
rnacentral:tRNA from 1 species